UGAGGAACAUGACCUUCGGCGGGGGAUAGCCGGCCCAACGGCCGGGUAAUACCGCGUACGACCACUCGGGGACAUCCCCAGGUGGUGAAAGCAGCAAUGCGCCGAUGGAGUGCCUCGCGGCCUAUCAGCUAGUUGGUGAGGUAACGGCUCACCAAGGCGACGACGGGUAGCUGGUCUGAGAGGAUGAUCAGCCACACGUGGGACUGAGACACGGCCCAGCUCCGUAGG
rnacentral:rRNA from 1 species